ensembl:lncRNA
GCAUGUUCUUUCUUUCCUUUCCAAACAUUUAAACAAACUUGUAUCUGAAUAUACUGAAAAUAAAUAAAAAAGUAAAAACAAUAGCAAAUGCAGAUCCAGCUUGGAUAACAAUUUUUAACAAACAAAUUCAUCCAAAUAUAUUGUUUGUAGGGUAUAAAUAAUAAACAUUGAUUUAGUUGUUUUAUAUUAGGUAAUUUAUUUUUAAAUCACUGUUUUAACUUUAUUUGUCGACGGAAAAUAUAACAACGCGCAGUCUGAGCUGGAGAAUGAUAAACACGUGACGGCUUCCGGGCGUCGUCCUGGAUACCAGUCGUGUGCUUCCGGUCGCUGUGCGAUGCUAAGCUAAGCGUGCUAACGAGCUGCUCCGAGUUUCAUCCGAAUUUUAAAAUCGAAAUAAAGACAGAAUCGAAUCGAAGCGAUGCGCGUCAGCCGCCGCAGUUUGGACAGAAUCUUCUCGAUCGGUCUUCUGCUGCUGGUUCUGCUCUCGUGGGGAUUCGUCAUCUACGGCACACGAGUCGCCGCACAGUGGGAGCUGGAGAAACGAGAGAAGAUCAAGACGUAAAGCUCAGCAAACAUGAGCCGAGACGCUGAGGACACAAACCCCUCACAAACACUUCUUCUGAUGUCUGUGUGUCUGCUUCAUUCACACUGCUCUGUGUGUGUGACUACACUUUCAGGCCACUAGAUGGCAUAGCGCACUAGAAACCGCUCAAGCACACUACAUAGGGCUCGAAAGAGAGCAGAGAUCCUGGAACAGGAUCACAAACCAGUGAUAAUGCAGUUGCACAAAACAAAUGCACAAUAAGAUUAUGAAGUAAGAUUAAUGAUGUUAUUAAAGUGUUAUUAUAGCAUCACUACGAGAGCUUGGACACUAUGCGUGUGUCAUUUUCUUGUGGUUUGUCUGUAUUUUAUGUGCCUACAUAUGUUUUAAAAUUAUCUUUAUUUCAGUUUGUUGUUUUUGUACAACAGAGUAAAGUGGAAAAUGUUUCCUCAGUAACAUAACAUAAAUAAAACUUGAUUUGUUUUACAAAAAAGGUGUUUUUUAGUGGUUUUCAUCAACCGUUUAAUCUUCCUUUUUGGCUUUAAUUAAUAUCCAUUUCAGUUUUUGUUCAAUAUUAUAAUUAAACCCAACAUUUGUAACAUUUUUAAUCUAGUGUUUCUGUUUUAUUUGAGUGAACAGAUGUCCUUUUUCAGUAGUUUUGGUUGGAGAGAAGCCUGUUUGUGAACGGAGCUGUGUGUGUGUGUGUGUGUGUGUUUGAUGUGUCUGCGUCUGCUGUUCUCUCUGAUCUUAAUGAAAUGAUUGAGUGAAUGGCUCUUUUGUGCUCGUGUGCCGCUCACGCAUUUCAUUAGCGAGCCUCUUCAGACGCCGGAUUAUUCAGAAAAGCUCUCGUCUCUUCCACAUCUACAACCAGUGUGUGUGUGUGUGUGUGUGUGUGUGUGUGUCUCUGCACCUGUAGUCCUGAGGUCUGUGUGUGUGAUGUUUGUCACCAUCACUAAAACUAGAGAUUUAUAAAUGAGUUCACACAUAGUCAGAUAUUAGAGUUAUUAGUUUAUUUUGC